rnacentral:misc_RNA from 1 species
GAUGAAGAACGUAGCGAAAUGCGAUAAGUAAUGCGAAUUGCAGAAUUCCGUGAGUCAUCGAAUCUUUGAACGCACAUUGCGCCCUCUGGUAUUCCGGGGGGCAUGCCUGUUCGAGCGUCAUUAUAACCACUCAAGCUCUCGCUUGGUAUUGGGGUUCGCGGUUCCGCGGCCCCUAAAAUCAGUGGCGGUGCCUGUCGGCUCUACGCGUAGUAAUACUCCUCGCGAUUGAGUCCGGUAGGUCUACUUGCCAGCAACCCCCAAUUUUUACAGGUUGACCUCGGAUCAGGUAGGGAUACCCGCUGAACUUAAGCAUAUCAAUAAGCGGAGGA